rnacentral:rRNA from 1 species
AAAUUGAAGAGUUUGAUCAUGGCUCAGAUUGAACGCUGGCGGCAGGCCUAACACAUGCAAGUCGAGCGGUAACACAG